rnacentral:rRNA from 1 species
UACGGAGGGGACUAGCGUUGUUCGGAAUUACUGGGCGUAAAGCGCACGUAGGCGGAUUUGUAAGUCAGGGGUGAAAUCUCGGGGCUUAACUCCGAAACUGCAUUCGAUACUACCGUGCUUGAGGACUGGAGAGGAGACUGGAAUUUACGGUGUAGCGGUGAAAUGCGUAGAUAUCGUAAGGAAGACCAGUGGCGAAGGCGGGUCUCUGGACAGUUCCUGACGCUGAGGCACGAAGGCCAGGGGAGCAAACGGG